GCGCUAACGGCUGCCGAUAAAGACGUUGUUGCAGUACACCGACAAGGUGUACGGGGUGUUCCGGAUUUCACGUCACCGCGGUCGUAGUUCUCGCGUGAAAUCUCGAAAAAAAAAAAAAUUUAAAUACUCGUAUUAAGAAACUUUCCGAAAUUCACAGUCUACGUUGAAAAAUGUGUAAACGGACAGAGUAUUUUGUUUGCACGCGUUUUGGCGUUGCAACUGCGCGUUAAUUGUGUUUUUGAAACUGAGGGAUCGAGUAACGGAGUCCCCGUUAUUCAACCCCGCGAGCUGUGCCGCCCACAAAUAAUGUUCCGCCACUCUCUCCGACCUACCUAAACUUAAAAGUUAAAUAUCUCGUCAACGGGUUCGCAGGAAAUCGAAAUCAAAAUGUAUUUAUGUACUACAGUAUUCAGUCUAUUUAUGAACAUUUUUAAUAUGAAAAUCAAAAGCAGGCAAUCGAUUCGCCCU